GUGUGGGGGCUGCCCCUAGAUAUGUGGGGGCAGGAGGGUCACGUGUGUGGGGCUCUGCCCAUAGAUGUGUGGGGCAGACCCAUAGAUGUGGGGCAGGAGGGUAGUGUGUGGGGCUUGCCCAUAGAUAUGGUAGGGGGCGGCGAGGGUAGUGUGUGGCGGCUGCCCUGAUGUGGGGCGGGGGUCAGUGUGUGGGCUGACCCAUAGAUGUGUGGGGCUGACCCAUAGAUAAUGGUGGCAGGAGGGUCAGCUUGUGUGGGGCUGGCCCGAUAUGUGGGCAGGAGGGUCAGUGUGUGGGGCUGCCCCAUAGAUGUGUGGGGCUGCCCCAUAGAUGUGUGGGGCAGGAGGGUCAGUGUGUGGGGCUGCCCCAUAGAUGUGUGGGGCAGGAGGGUCAGUGUGUGGGGCUGCCCCAUAGAUAUGGGCCAGGAGGGUCAGUGUGUGGGGCUGCCCCACAGAUAUGUGGGGCAGAGGGAACUUGGGGGGGGCUGCCCCAUAGAUGUGUGGGGCAGAGGGAACUUGGGGGGCUGCCCCAUAGAUACUGGGAGGAGGCAGGUAAGUGACGCUGUGGGGCGGGAGCUUGUGGGGCUGCCCCAUAGAUAAAGGGGUCAGGUACUUGUGGGGCAGCCCCAUAGAUAUGUGGGGGGGGUUAUAACUUAUGGGGCAGCCCCAUAGAUAAUGGGGGGCCAGUAACUUAUGGGGCAGCCCCAUAGAUAUGUGGGGCAGGGGAUAACUUAUGGGGCAGCCCCAUAGAUAUGGGGGGGGCCAGUAACUUAUGGGGCAGCCCCAUAGAUAUGUGGGGCAGGGGAUAACUUAUGGGGCAGCCCCAUAGAUGUGUGGGGCAGGGGAUAACUUAUGGGGCUGCCCCAUAGAUUCUAUGGGGUGAAUGUGGGGCUCGGUGUUAACGUUCCUCUCUUCUCCUCCUCAAAUGCUGCCCGGAUUUGCAUAAUUAAUCACCUCUUUAUGUUAAUUACUCUUUAUGUUAAUUAUCCUUUAUGUUAAUCCCCCUUAAUGCUAAUUACCUUUUAUGCUAAUUGACUUUAUGCUAAUUACCCUUUUAUGCUAAUUACCCCUUUAUGCUAAUCCCCCUUUAUUCCCCUUUAUGUUACUGUACCUUUAUGUUAAUGACCCUUUAUGCUAAUUACCCCCCUUUAUGCUAAUUACCCUCCCCCUUAUGCUAAUUACCCCUCACUUAUGCUAAUUACCCCCCCUUUAUGCUAAUUACCCUCCCUUUUAUGCUAACUAUCCUCCCAUUUAUGCUAAUUACCCUCCCCUUUAUGCUAAUUGUCCUCUUUCUUAUGCUAAUUACCCCCCUUUAUGCUAAUUACCCCCUUUAUGCUAAUUACCCUCCCUUUUAUGCUAAUUACCCUCCCUUUUAUGCUAAUUACCCUCCCCUUUAUGCUAAUUAUUCUCUCCCUUAUGCUAAUUAACCCUCCCCUAAUUCCUUUAUUCCCUUUAUGCUAAUUACCCUCUAUGCUAAUGACCCUCUAUGCUAAUGACCCUCUAUGCUAAUUACCCUCUAUGCUAAUUACCUUUAUGCUAAUGACCCCUUAUGCUAUCCCCCCCUACGUCAACCCCCCUUUCCAUUAACCCCCCUUUAUGC
ensembl:lncRNA